rnacentral:lncRNA from 1 species
CCACUUAAAACCCACUUACCUCGAACAGAUGAACUGUCUCCCUUAUAGGGACAAAGCUUGCCUAGACAUCAACUAAGCCACAGAGCGAAAUUGGUGCAACUUUCGGUGGUCUUCGUCCUAUUGAGCUCGAAUGUCCUUAGGGGCCAACGUCUAGUUGAUUUUAGUUAAGCUUGGGACAUUUAUGCACUGGGGUGAUUUUUGGGCUAAGGACGAGUGAUGAAAUCCCGACCUUAUCUUUUUAAAUAGGUUCAGCCCUUAGAAUAUUUUAUGUUGAUGCCUUACACUAUAUGCAACAAUCAAGAGAUUUUUUUUUUUUAA